CAAUAGCGUAUAUUAAAGUUGUUGCGGUUAAAAAGCUCGUAGUUGGAGUUCUGCCAGGUGCCGCCUGUCCGCCCCAGUGGUGAGUACGUGGCGCGCAUUUGGCCCUUUCAAGGGGAGCGUAUCUGCACUUUAUUGUGUGGUGCGGGAUCCUUGACUUUUACUUUGAGGAAAUAGGAGUGUUCCAAGCAGGCUCUCGUCGUGCACAGCUCAGCAUGGAAUAAUAGCAUUGGACCUCGAUUCUAAGCUGUUGGUUGCCAGAAGCGAGGUAAUGAUGAAGAGGGAUAGUUGGGGGCAUUCGUAUUUAACUGUCAGAGGUGAAAUUCUUGGAUUUGUUAAAGACGGACUACUGCGAAANCANNNGCCAUGGAUGUUUUCAUNGA
rnacentral:rRNA from 1 species